UGAUACUUUCAUAGUGAGCAGAAAAGAACAUCACUUUGGUGAUAUUGACAUGUUGUAAGGAUCACUAAGAAAGGAAGAAAAUUGUAAUGCAUGACAAAAGAUUUCUUUUAUGAACUGACAUAGACUCAUAAGCUAAUUCACCCAAUAUCUGCUUUUGGUAGAUUGAAAACUCAGAUACCUUUUUAUCUUUGUAGGUCACACCAUCUAAGGGAAGGAAGGAUGAGUCAAGUUGCAGUCUUAAAACAUCCAUAGAAUUACUUAAAAGUACUCAAUCAUAUCAGAGGUCUUGAAGAACAACAUGCAUCUAAUAUAUCAUUAUUUUUGGAGCCAAGCCAUUAUUUUUUCCUUGAUUACUUUGCUACAAGCUGCCUUGAUGUUUAUCUGGCUGAAAAGGUUAUCAAGGGAAUUAUGGAUGGUUGCCAACAAUCUGACUAUGCUCUUUUAGGUGGAGAGACCACCGAGAUGCCGGGUUUCUAUGCAGAGGGUGAGUAUGACCUCAGUGGUUUUGUGGUUGGAAUUGUGAAGAAGGAAUCAGUGAUUGAUGGGAAAAACAUUUUGGCUGGAGAUGUCCUCAUUGGCCUACCAUCUAGUGGGGUUCAUUCCAAUGGUUUUCUCUUGUAAGAAGGUUGGUGUUGUUGAAAGAAAAAACAAACCUCUUCCCUGUUUCGCAUAUGCAAUUAACUUGAACUGUGUUUUUUUUUCUUAUCUGACCCUGUGGUUCUAACUCAUGACAUUUCACUGGUACAUCUUUAUAGGUUUCUAGCUCAUAGUGGGUUGUCUCUCAAAGACCAACUACUGGGUAACUCUGUUACCUUGGGUGAAGCUUUGAUGGCCCCCACAGUGAUAUAUGUUAAGCAGGUCAACAUGAAACCCUGCUUUAUAAUAUUUUGCAUUUCUGCUCAUUUUCUUGUUUUGUGUUUAACUAGCUGCUGAAAAUGCUUUCUGUUUUUUGCUUUUGCUUGCUGAAACAGGUGCUUGACAUAAUUA